rnacentral:tRNA from 1 species
GGGCGUGUACCCAAGUGGCCAAAGGGGGCAGACUGUAAAUCUGCUGGCAACGCCUUCGCAGGUUCGAAUCCUGCCGCGCCCA